UAGUCAUAUGCUUGUCUCAAAGAUUAAGCCAUGCAUGUCUAAGUAUAAAUGGAUUAUACAGUGAAACUGCGAAUGGCUCAUUAAAUCAGUUAUAGUUUAUUUGAUAAUAUCUCUUACUUGGAUAACCGUAAUAAUUUUAGAGCUAAUACAUGCGCAAAAGGGCGACUUUUCGGAAGCCCUGUAUUUAUUAGAUACAGAACCAAUCGUGCUUGCACGCUUCCAUGGUGAUUCAUAAUAACUAAACGAAUCGCAUGACUUUAUGUCGGCGAUGAUUCAUAUAAGUUUCUGCCCUAUCAACUUUCGAUGGUAAGGUAUUGGCUUACCAUGGUUACAACGGGUGACGGAGAAUUAGGGUUCGAUUCCGGAGAGGGAGCCUGAGAAACGGCUACCACUUCUACGGAGGGCAGCAGGCGCGCAAAUUACCCAAUCCUGGCUCAGGGAGGUAGUGAAGAAUAAUAACAAUACGUGACUAAGGUCUAGUAAUUGGAAUGAGUACAAUUUAAACCCCUUAAUGAAAGCCAUAAAG
rnacentral:rRNA from 1 species